UACGAAGGGGCUAGCGUUGUUCGGAAUCACUGGGCGUAAAGCGCGUGUAGGUGGAUUGGUGUGUCAGAUGUGAAAGCCCUGGGCUCAACCCAGGAAUUGCACCUGAAACUACCAGUCUUGAGUGGUGGAGAGGGAAGUGGAAUUCCUGGUGUAGAGGUGAAAUUCGUAGAUAUCAGGAGGAACACCAGUGGCGAAGGCGGCUUCCUGGACACCAACUGACGCUGAGACGCGAAAGCGUGGGGAGCAAAACAGG
rnacentral:rRNA from 1 species